rnacentral:rRNA from 1 species
UUUCGAAUCAUUCACAAUGGGCGAAAGCCUGAUGGUGCGACGCCGCGUGGGGGAUGAAGGUCCUUGGAUUGUAAACCCCUGUCACCGGGGAAGAAUGGUAUACACCUAACACGUGUAUAUUUGACUUAACCCGGAGAGGAAGCAGUGGCUAACUCUGUGCCAGCAGCCGCGGUAAUACAGAGACUGCAAGCGUUAUUCGGAUUCACUGGGCGUAAAGGGUGCGCAGGAGGUGAUGUGUGUUAGGCGUGAAAUCCCGAGGCUCAACCUCGGAACUGCACCUAAAACUACAUCACUAGAGUACUGGAGAGGGUAGCGGAAUUCACGGUGUAGCAGUGAAAUGCGUAGAUAUCGUGAGGAACACCAAAGGCGAAGGCAGCUACCUGGACAGUUACUGACUCUC